UGAGGGAAUAUUUGGGGUCAAUGGGCGGAAGCCUGAACCAGCCAUGCCGCGUGAAGGACUAAGGCCCUAUGGGUCGUAAACUUCUUUAGACGCAGAGCAAUAAGGGUCUCGUGAGAUCCGAUGAGAGUAUGCGUAGAAUAAGCAUCGGCUAACUCCGUGCCAGCAGCCGCGGUAAUACGGGGGGAUGCGAGCGUUAUCCGGAUUUAUUGGGUUUAAAGGGUGCGUAGGCGGAAGUGCAAGUCAGCGGUGAAAUCCCCGCGCUCAACGCGGGAGUUGCCGUUGAUACUGUACAUCUGGAAUGCUCUUGCCGUGGGAGGAAUGAGUAGUGUAG
rnacentral:rRNA from 1 species